AGAGUUUGAUCCUGGCUCAGAACGUACGCUGGCGGCACGCCUAACACAUGCAAGUCGAACGCAGUAGCAAUACUGAGUGGCAAACGGGUGAGUAUAAUGUGGGAAUCUGCCUUUUGGUCUGGAAUAACACGAGGAAACUUGUGCUAAUACCGGAUAAGCCUUCACAGGGAAAGUUUUAAUGCCAAAAGAUGAGCCCGCACUUGAUUAGCUAGUUGGUAAGGUAAUAGCUUACCAAGGCAACGAUCAAUAGCUGUUCUUAGAGGAAGACCAGCCACAUUGGGACUGAGACACGGCCCAAACUCCUACGGGAGGCAGCAGUGGGGAAUCUUGCACAAUGGGGGAAACCCUGAUGCAGCGAUGCCGCGUGAGUGAAGAAGGCCUUUGGGUUGUAAAACUCUUUCGUCGGGGAAGAAAAUGACUGUACCCGAAUAAGAAGGUCCGGCUAACUUCGUGCCAGCAGCCGCGGUAAUACGAAGGGACCUAGCGUAGUUCGGAAUUACUGGGCUUAAAGAGUUCGUAGGUGGUUAAAAAAGUUGAUGGUGAAAUCCCAAGGCUCAACCUUGGAACUGCCAUCAAAACUUUUUAGCUAGAGUAUGAUAGAGGAAAGUGGAAUUUCUAGUGUAGAGGUGAAAUUCGUAGAUAUUAGAAAGAACAUCAAAAGCGAAGGCAACUUUCUGGAUCAUUACUGACACUGAGGAACGAAAGCAUGGGUAGCGAAGAGGAUUAGAUACCCUCGUAGUCCAUGCCGUAAACGAUGUGUGCUAGACGUUGGAAACUUAGUUUUCAGUGUCGCAGCGAAAGCAUUAAGCACACCGCCUGGGGAGUACGACCGCAAGGUUAAAACU
rnacentral:rRNA from 1 species